ACUACGUCCCUGCCCUUUGUACAC
rnacentral:ncRNA from 3 species